CUGAAAACCAGAGCUCGUCCGUGGCUUCACUUGUUUUGGACUAAGGAGCUGAGGAGCGUGCAAGACUGUACUUGGAGAAUCUGUUUCUUGCUGCCAUUUCGUCACUGAACACUAUUUUUUUUCUCCUUCUUUUUUUGUAAGAAAAGGAGAACACAUAAAACCCCACCAGAACAAACUCCACUCGGCCCUGAAAGUAUUUACAAUCACGGCCCUGAAAGUACUGAAAGUAUUUACAAUCACGUUACAGUUCAUUCACUGCUGCAGAACCUCUCUCCAGCGAUCAAGGUCGAAGGGAGCCGACGUCGCCCUCUAUCGGCUCCCUGCUGCACUAGAAGCUCCUUGCAGACAGUCUUACAUAGCAUGGCGACUCCAGUCCCAGCACUGCUUACCCCACGGAUCGGGAAGAUGGAGGCUCCUGAAGAGCUGUAGAAGCGCAUCCUAGGCAGAAGCCCAGCAGACAGCAAAGGGCCUGGUUUGUUCAAGGAACUGGAGGGCAAGAAAAUCAGGAGCCAAUUCAUGCAGGGCACAGUUAGCCAAGGCAGGAGGCAAUCAUGCUCACCCUCUUCCACAGCCGGACUCACUCAGGAGGCCCUUCAUCUUCAUGUUCCCCACAUAGCAGAGGGGAGGGCAGAAGAUGAGAGGGAGGAGAGAGCAGAGCCAAGAGCCUCCUUUUCUCCCACUGUGCCCCUCCUAUGUGUGGCUCUGGACACCAGGAACCACCCAAGGACAGUGGGACUCCUCGAAAAGAUAAUUGCUCAUGAGGGAUCCAAGAGCAAGGCUUGUUACAUCCUAUAACCUUCACACAAAAUAUUGACUGAGAAUCCUCCAUGUGCCAAGUACUGUUCAAAAACACUGGGAACCCAGCAGGGAUGAGCCACAAGUUUCCUUGUCUUUACGAAGCUUUCAUUCUGAGGGAGUGGAGAGAGACAAGCAAUAAACAACCAAUCAAAACAAAGAUGACUCCUCUGAGUGUUGUGAUAUGCGGGUCAAGGAGGAUGGCUCCCAGGAUGUGACCUCAGAGCAGAAGCCUGGAGGCUUGCCAGCAGCGGGAAGAGCAGCGGCAGGGCACUGCAGGCAGAGGUGACCAAAAGCGUGAAACCUUGAGCUGGGAAGCACGUGGUCUGCUGGAAAGUGGGCUGAUGUAUUUGAAGAGAGCAAGGAGCAGAAUGGUACAAUGGGGUGAUGGGGGAAGAGCCAGGCAGAGCCCAGUGCUGCAAAGCCCGGUAGCACAUACAUGUGUAACGUACCUUGAAGCAAAUGAAUGGCCUGAUCUGGUUUCUGUUUUGGCUGCUCUGUGGUGAUGUGGUGCCUGGGAGGCAAAGAAGCUGGGAAAGAAGCGGUUUUUCUCUUCUAGGUACUUUAAAGCUCUAUAAUAUAUGCUCAGGUGAAAUUUGGCUGGUA
rnacentral:lncRNA from 1 species